rnacentral:rRNA from 1 species
GAUGAACGCUGGCGGCGUGCUUAAUACAUGCAAGUCGAACGGAGACAUUAGCAAUAAUGUUUUAGUGGCGAACGGGUGAGUAACGCGUUGGUGACCUGCCCCGAAGAGAGGGAUAACAGUUCGAAAGGAUUGCUAAUACCUCAUGUGGUUGUUUGGAUUAGAUGCCUUACAACUAAACGGAUUUAUUCGCUUCGGGAGGGGCCUGCGUACCAUCAGCUUGUUGGUGAGGUAAUGGCUCACCAAGGCUAUGACGGUUAGGGGACCUGAGAGGGUGGCCCCCCACAAUGGAACUGAAACACGGUCCAUACACCUACGGGUGGCAGCAGUAGGGAAUAUUGGUUAAUCUGCGAAAGCGGGAACCAGCAACGCCGCGUGCACGAUGAAGGCCUUCGGGUCGUAAAGUGCUUUUUGAGAGGAUGAGGAAGGACAGUACUCUUAGAAUAAGUCUCGGCUAACUACGUG